AGUGAACGCUGGCGGUAGGCCUAACACAUGCAAGUCGAACGGCAGCACAGUAAGAGCUUGCUCUUACGGGUGGCGAGUGGCGGACGGGUGAGGAAUACAUCGGAAUCUACUUUUUCGUGGGGGAUAACGUAGGGAAACUUACGCUAAUACCGCAUACGACCUACGGGUGAAAGCAGGGGAUCUUCGGACCUUGCGCGAUUGAAUGAGCCGAUGUCGGAUUAGCUAGUUGGCGGGGUAAAGGCCCACCAAGGCGACGAUCCGUAGCUGGUCUGAGAGGAUGAGCGGCCACAUUGGAACUGAGACACGGUCCAGACCCCUAGGGGGGGCAGCAGGGGGGAAUAUUGGAAAAGGGGGGCAAGCCUGAUCCAGCCAUACCGGGGGGGUGAAGAAGGCCUUCGGGUUGUAAAGCCCUUUUGUUGGGAAAAAAAAGCAGCAGGUUAAUCCCCCGCUGUUCUGACGGUACCCAAAAAAAAAGCACCGGCUAACUUCGU
rnacentral:rRNA from 1 species